UACGUAGGGUGCAAGCGUUAAUCGGAAUUACUGGGCGUAAAGCGUGCGCAGGCGGCUUUGCAAGACAGAUGUGAAAUCCCCGGGCUCAACCUGGGAACUGCAUUUGUGACUGCAUGGCUAGAGUGCGGCAGAGGGGGAUGGAAUUCCGCGUGUAGCAGUGAAAUGCGUAGAGAUGCGGAGGAACACCGAUGGCGAAGGCAGCCCCCUGGGCUAGCACUGACGCUCAGGCACGAAAGCGUGGGGAGCAAACAGG
rnacentral:rRNA from 1 species